rnacentral:rRNA from 1 species
GACGAACGCUGGCGGCGUGCCUAAUACAUGCAAGUCGAACGCAGUGGGGACGGGUGCGUAACACGUGGGUAACCUCCCAUCAGAGGGGAUAACAAUUGGAAAAAGGUGCUAAACCGCUACUGGUGGAUGGACACGCGGUGCAUUAGCUAGUUGGUGAGGUAACGGCGCACCAAGGCCACGAGGCCUAGCCGACCGGAGAGGGGGAUCGGCCACACUGGGACUGAGACACGGCCCAGACUCCUACGGGAGGCAGCAGUAGGGAAUCGGCCGCAAGGGACGAAAGUCUGCCCGAGCAACGCCGCGUGAGUGAAGAAGGUUUUCGGAUCGUAAAGCUCUGUUGUUAGAGAAGCGGUAUCUACCCAGAAAGCCACGGCUAACUACGUGCCAGCAGCCGCGGUAAUAC